rnacentral:rRNA from 1 species
CCUACGGGAGGCAGCAGUGAGGAAUAUUGGUCAAUGGCCGGAAGCCUGAACCAGCCAAGCAGCGUGAGGGAGGAAGGCCCAGCGGGUCGCAGACUUCUUUUGCCGGGGGACAAAGUGCCGCACGUGUGCGGUUCUGUGUGUACCCUGUGAAUAAGCAUCGGCUAACUCCGUGCCAGCAGCCGCGGUAAUACGGAGGAUCCGAGCGUUAUCCGGAUUUAUUGGGUUUAAAGGGUGCGUAGGCGGGGUGUUAAGGCAGUUGGGAAAGUUCGGGGCUCAACCGUCGACUUGCAUUUGAAACUGGCGGCCUUGAGUGCAGCUGAGGCAGGCGGAAUGCGUGGUGUAGCGGUGAAAUGCAUAGAUAUCACGAAGAACCCCGAUUGCGAAGGCAGCGUGC